CGUAAAUCAUUCGUUCGAUUACUUGAGCAAAAGCGCAAUGAGAAUGAGAAUUUGGUCGACUUCUACAAAGAGACGCGUUGGUCGAAGAAAAAGAAUGCAUUUGUCACAGAUGCUACAGAAAGUACUUAUAAGGAGAUGCAAGGUAGGUUGGAUGGCCUAGGACCAGAGCAACGUAGUGAUGAGGCAGCAGCGACUGUCUUUAGGGAGGUUCUUGGCCAUCGACCUGGAUAUGCACGGGGACUUGGGGAAAUGGUCAUCCCCGAGUCAAGUAGACAACGUGACAAAGUUCAAAUGCAACAAUACAUGUCUGAGGCUGAAAAGCACAAGAAAGAUGCUGAACAAUAUA